rnacentral:misc_RNA from 1 species
GAUGAAGAACGCAGCGAAAUGCGAUAAGUAAUGUGAAUUGCAGAAUUCAGUGAAUCAUCGAAUCUUUGAACGCACAUUGCGCCCGCCAGUAUUCUGGCGGGCAUGCCUGUUCGAGCGUCAUUUCAACCAUCAAGCCCCCGGCUUGUGUUGGGGACCUGCGGCUGCCGCAGGCCCUGAAAUGCAGUGGCGGGCUCGCUGUCACUCCGAGCGUAGUAGUUACAUCUCGCUCUGGGCGUGCUGCGGGUUCCGGCCGUUAAAAGCCUUAUUUACCCAAGGUUGACCUCGGAUCAGGUAGGAAGACCCGCUGAACUUAAGCAUAUCAAUAAGCGUAGGA